GAUUUUUAUCUUGGUUCAAGUUCGUGUAUUUAUCGACAUCUGCAAAAGUCUCUUCUUUAGUCUUUUUAUCUUUAUUUUUAUCUUGAUUCAAGUUCGGGUAUUCAUCUACAUCUUCAAAAGGAUUCUCUUUAUCCGUACCCUGAAUAGCUAAGCGUCUGUAUCUUCUUGAACGAAUCUCAGGAUAUUUUCGUCUUCGUGCUUGUCCUUCCAGGAAUUU
rnacentral:lncRNA from 1 species